UGUAUGCGAUAUACAUGUAUGCAUAAGCAUAUGCAUACACAUAUAUGUGUGUACGUGUAUAAUUGUAGGGAAAUUUAAGUUGGAAUUGUUCAACUUUAAUUAAUCCUAUUAGUCUAAUAAAUUUCGGGUGUCGCACCGGUGUUUCUUUCGAGUGUUGGCCGCUAGCACCGUCGAUCUCGAAAAUUUGUUCACAAAGUCGGUGUGGAUACUUGGAUACUUAUAGAGGCGUCACACUUGGGGCGCUUGGUCGACAAUUUUAAAAUAUCAGGGAGAUGUAGGCGCCCAUGUCAGCGAUGUUCUUGACCUGUAUCUUGACGGCCAUAUCAACCUCCGGGUACUUCGCUUCGUACAUGCGGCACUCGAGGUUCGAGGAGUGAGACGCCAUGGUGACGAAGCUUUUCCUCUUCUCGGGGAAGGAACGGUGUCUCCGAUAGCAGGUGCUAGGGUUUUGACCAGGGGUUUCUAGGAGAAAGAGAAACGCAAGGGGAAAGGCGAUGGAGAAUUUGUUCUCUAUUGAUUUUGUCUUCUUUCUCUGAGUUUCUAACAAAGUGCAAUGUGGGCCCUGAACUUAUCAUGGAAAUAACAUUCGGCCCAUAAAGUAA